rnacentral:rRNA from 1 species
UACGUAGGGGGCAAACGUUGUCCGGAUUUACUGGGUGUAAAGGGUGCUCAGACGGUCUUGUAAGUUAGAAGUGAAAUCCUAGGGCUCAACUCUGGAACUGCUUUUAAUACUGCAAGGCUUGAAUAUGGAAGAGGAGGGUGGAAUUUCUGGUGUAGCAGUGAAAUGCGUAGAUAUCAGAAAGAACACCAGUGGCGAAGGCGGCCCUCUGGUCCAUUAUUGACGCUAAAGCACGAAAGCGUGGGGAGCAAACAGG